rnacentral:rRNA from 1 species
UACGGGGGGGGCAAGCGUUGUUCGGAAUUACUGGGCGUAAAGGGCGCGUAGGCGGCCUUCUAAGUCAGACGUGAAAUCCCCAGGCUUAACUUGGGAACUGCGUCUGAUACUGGGAGGCUUGAGUGCGGGAGAGGGAUGUGGAAUUCCAGGUGUAGCGGUGAAAUGCGUAGAUAUCUGGAGGAACACCGGUGGCGAAGGCGGCGAGCUGGCCUGUACCUGACGCUGAGGCGCGACAGCGUGGGGAGCAAACAGG